UGAGUAGGCGGUUACUCAAGUCAUAUGUGAAAGGUCAGUGCUUAACACUGAGACUGCAUAAGAAACUAGGUAACUAGAGUACGGGAGAGGUAAGCGGAAUUCCUAGUGUAGCGGUGAAAUGCGUAGAUAUUAGGAAGAACACCAGUGGCGAAGGCGGCUUACUGGACCGAGACUGACGCUGAGGCACGAAAGCGUGGGGAGCGAACAGGAUUAGAUACCCUGGUAGUCCACGCUGUAAACGAUGAGAACUAGGUGUUGGGGCGAGAGCCUCGGUGCCGCAGCUAACGCAAUAAGUUCUCCGCCUGGGGAGUACGUUCGCAAGAAUGAA
rnacentral:rRNA from 1 species